CAAAGACCGGAGCUACAGAGCCCAGGCACCCAGCAGGGAAGGCUAAGGAAUCAACAAUGCAAUUAAAAGUCUUCAGCCAGCAAUGGAAAUAUUGAACAGUUGCACUGUUUCAAGUGAAGAGACAAUUGGUAACUCCAUAGACAGAGGGAAAAGCAUUAAGGUCAAUCCAGACAGGAUUUCAAUCAAGAGGAGAAAGCUAUCACUUGGUCAGAGACUUUGAAGGCAUGAAAAUUAAUCUGAGUACUCUGAAGGAGCUAGCCUGCCAAAGGAGGAAAAAUCAGAGCCUUUCAAACCAAAGGACUCAAAGAAAACAUCCUGGAAAGGCUAAAGCAAGGAGAGCGCCACAAGCCACCAGCUCAUUUUAAGUCAGUGAGGUACUGAACUAUUAAGGGGAAAGAAACUGGCAAUAUUGACUGAGAAAACUGGGACAAAGCCUGCAGAGGUUUAAUCCAGUUUGGUGCACAUACCUUUCAGCGUUACAUGAAAGCUUUUAGUUCCCUGGGAGUCUCCAGGACUACACAGCAGCGAGCUGUUUGCUUCUCCAGUUUCCUUAAAGCCUUGCUCUUUAUUGCCCAGAACCCCAUGUGUCCUUGGCUGCUCCAGUACUCAGCUGCCCAGGGGUCUGCAGAGGCUUGUUUCACUUCGUCAAGAAAUGGAGGAUGUCUUCUGGGUAACACCAGCACCCGUCUGGACUGAGAAUACACAUUUCCAUCCCACAGUAAACCUCUGCUUAAGGACUUCCAAUUCUAAGCUUUCCUUUCUAAUCAUUUUCCUCCUGUUCUUCCACAACUUGAGAAUGAUUUGCACUUUUAAAUCACUAGUUUUAGCUCUUGAAGGAGAAUCCAGUAUCACAUACUGUGGCCAUCAUAAUUAUAGUACAUUCCGUGAAAUUCUUCAAAAGUGAUCUUACAGGAACAAAGUGUUAUUGAGUACCUUCAUUCCAAGUUCACUUAGCUGGCAGCCUUAGCAAAUAAGACAGACUGCAUAAGCACUGAUGUCUAUCAGCCUGCUACCAUUCCCUCCCCUUUUGCCCUUUAAUCACAGGAUGGCAUUCAAGAUGAUAAAGAUGUGCACUGACGGAAUGGCAGGACAAGAGCACUGCUGCCUACAGUCUCUCUUUCACAUAAUUCCAGAAAACACAACCUGCCAACACAGCACAGAUCCAGCUAGAGAAUACACUGUUGUCUUCAAAUACAGCUGCAUUUACCAAAGUUUCACAUAGUACAACUAGAAGUCAAAGACAGACCUUGCUUUGAAUUCCUUAAAGUAAUUCUGAAGUUACAACUGGGCUGAAAACACUCAAAUCUUACAUCUUAUGCCCAUAGAUAUGGAACGUACGCUUGAAGAAUAUCUUAUCUUGAAUCUAGCUGUUGUACCUAAGCACAUCUAGAGUUUAUCUGUAGGGCCAGUAAGAAAUCCUGAAAAUGAACCCACAAAAGUAGAGUAACUGGAAAAAAAAAAUCUUUUCCAAUGAGUCCAGUUAUGACAACUCAUUUCUUGGCCAUGCAAGAAAUCCCUCUCUGGGAUACAGCUGACUCCACAAGCAGAGCAGCGAGAAGUUUUUCUUGCCGCCUGACUCACCUUUCCUGUGCUAGCACAAACACCUCUGACAUUACUCAGGAAGUUCCUUAUAAUUAUCUGGAGAUGCAGAUCCACAUGAAUAAUGUAUAUGUUGGGUUGGUUGCAGAACUGAACGGUAUAUUAAAAAUUCAUUCAGUUCAUGUAAAAAAAAUAGGAUAUGAAGGUAUUUUUGAAGGUGUUUUAAUGGAAGACAAAUUGAAAAAAAAUACCUUCUUAGGAUAGUCCAUAGCUUUACUCUGAAGGAUUAUUUAUUUGUAAUGGGGACUGGAGAUUUACGAAUAGCCUAACUGAAAACAUUUAUUUCAAAGUUUUAACAAUUAACAUUCCCAAACUUUUUCCUGCCACUUUUGGAAUAUGCAUUUAGGGCUGAAAAAAGUGUAACUCAAGCCUAAGUGAUUUCUCUCCUCAAAAACUUAUUCUUCAGUAAGUUUCUCCUCCUUCAGAAACAUGACAGACAUGGGACAGGGUGACAUCAUCCUGGAUGACCCUGUGAGCCACACCACAGGCCUGAAGAUGCUUAACCUUCAUGUACUUCCAUAACAUAGGAGAAAACCGCAUCAAUACAAGACUGUUUGCUCAAGGCAGUUAAACUAAAUAUUUAAGUCAAUGGGGAAACCUCAAUAAAAUUGCUGCUGUGUACCCAUAUUGCAGAGUUUUAUCUAGUCCUGAACAAGUGUUUUUAUCUGCAGUGUCUUCACUAGUAUCCACUUUCAG
ensembl:lncRNA